GACGAACGCUGGCGGCGUGCUUAACACAUGCAAGUCGAACGGAAAGGCCCUGCUUUUGUGGGGUGCUCGAGUGGCGAACGGGUGAGUAACACGUGAGUAACCUGCCCUUGACUUUGGGAUAACUUCAGGAAACUGGGGCUAAUACCGGAUAGGAGCUCCUGCUGCAUGGUGGGGGUUGGAAAGUUUCGGCGGUUGGGGAUGGACUCGCGGCUUAUCAGCUUGUUGGUGGGGUAGUGGCUUACCAAGGCUUUGACGGGUAGCCGGCCUGAGAGGGUGACCGGCCACAUUGGGACUGAGAUACGGCCCAGACUCCUACGGGAGGCAGCAGUGGGGAAUAUUGCACACUGGGCGGAAGCCUGAUGCAGCAACGCCGCGUGCGGGAUGACGGCCUUCGGGUUGUAAACCGCUUUUGCCUGUGACGCAGCGUGAGUGACGCUAAUGGGUAAAGAAGCACCGGCUAACUACGUG
rnacentral:rRNA from 1 species